rnacentral:rRNA from 1 species
UACAGAGGUCUCAAGCGUUGUUCGGAUUCAUUGGGCGUAAAGGGUGCGUAGGCGGCGGGGUAAGUCGGAUGUGAAAUCUCAGGGCUCAACCCUGAAACUGCAUUCGAUACUGCCUUGCUUGAGGACUCGAGAGGAGAUUGGAAUUCACGGUGUAGCAGUGAAAUGCGUAGAGAUCAGGAGGAACACCCAUGGCGAAGGCAGCUCUCUGGUCGACCUCUGACGCUGAGACGCGAAAGCGUGGGGAGCGAACGGG